rnacentral:rRNA from 1 species
GCAUAUCAAUAAGCGGAGGAAAAGAAACCAACAGGGAUUGCCCCCAGUAACGGCGAGUGAAGCGGCAAGAGCUCAAAUUUGAAAGCUGGCUCCUUCGGGGUCCGCAUUGUAAUUUGUAGAGGAUGCUUCGGGAGCGGUCCCCAUCUAAGUGCCCUGGAACGGGACGUCAUAGAGGGUGAGAAUCCCGUAUGGGAUGGGGUGUCCGCGCCCGUGUGAAGCUCCUUCGACGAGUCGAGUUGUUUGGGAAUGCAGCUCUAAAUGGGUGGUAAAUUUCAUCUAAAGCUAAAUAUUGGCCGGAGACCGAUAGCGCACAAGUAGAGUGAUCGAAAGAUGAAAAGCACUUUGAAAAGAGAGUUAAAAAGCACGUGAAAUUGUUGAAAGGGAAGCGCUUGCGACCAGACUCGCUCGCGGGGUUCAGCCGGCAUUCGUGCCGGUGUACUUCCCCGCGGGCGGGCCAGCGUCGGUUUGGGCGGUCGGUCAAAGGCCCUCGGAAGGUAACGCCCCUAGGGGCGUCUUAUAGCCGAGGGUGCAAUGCGACCUGCCUAGACCGAGGAACGCGCUUCGGCUCGGACGCUGGCAUAAUGGUCGUAAGCGACCCGUCUUGAAACACGGACCAAGGAGUCUAACAUCUACGCGAGUGUUCGGGUGUCAAACCCGUGCGCGAAGUGAAAGCGAACGGAGGUGGGAACCCUUACGGGUGCACCAUCGACCGAUCCUGAAGUCUUCGGAUGGAUUUGAGUAAGAGCGUAGCUGUUGGGACCCGAAAGAUGGUGAACUAUGCCUGAAUAGGGCGAAGCCAGAGGAAACUCUGGUGGAGGCUCGUAGCGGUUCUGACGUGCAAAUCGAUCGUCGAAAUUUGGGUAUAGGGGCGAAAGACUAAUCGAACCAUCUGGUAGCUGGUU